GAUGAACGCUGGCGGCGUGCCUAAUACAUGCAAGUCGAGCGAACGGACGAGAAGCUCGCGUCUCUGCGGUUAGCGGCGGACGGGUGAGUAAGAAGUAGAUAAGCUACCUCUAAUACUGGGAUAACUUCGUGAAACCAGUGCUAAUACUGCAUCAUACUUCGAACGGCUUGGAUCAAAAGUGCAUGAGGGUUUUGACGUCACUAAUAGAUGGAUCCGCGUUGCAUUAGCUAGUUGGUAAGGUAACGGCUUACCAAGGCAACGAUGCAUAGCCGACCUGAGAGGGUGAUCGGCCACACUGGAACUGAGACACGGUCCAGACUCCUACGGGAGGCAGCAGUAGGGAAUCUUCCGCAAUGGGCGAAAGCCUGACGGAGCAACGCCGCGUGAGUGAUGAAGGUCUUCGGAUCGUAAAACUCUGUUAUUAGGGAAGAACAUAUGUGUAAGAAACUGUGCACAUCUUGACGGUACCUAAUCAGAAAGCCACGGCUAACUACGUG
rnacentral:rRNA from 1 species